rnacentral:rRNA from 1 species
GCCCUGGCAGUCAGAGGCGAUGAAGGGCGUGCUAAUCUGCGAUAAGCGCCGGUAAGGUGAUAUGAACCGUUAUAACCGGCGAUACCCGAAUGGGGAAACCCAGUGUGAUUCGUCACACUAUCAUUAACUGAAUCCAUAGGUUAAUGAGGCGAACCGGGGGAACUGAAACAUCUAAGUACCCCGAGGAAAAGAAAUCAACCGAGAUUCCCCCAGUAGCGGCGAGCGAACGGGGAGGAGCCCAGAGCCUGAAUCAGCAUGUGUGUUAGUGGAAGCGUCUGGAAAGGCGCGCGAUACAGGGUGACAGCCCCGUACACAAAAGCGCAUGUGCUGUGAGCUCGAUGAGUAGGGCGGGACACGUGGUAUCCUGUCUGAAUAUGGGGGGACCAUCCUCCAAGGCUAAAUACUCCUGACUGACCGAUAGUGAACCAGUACCGUGAGGGAAAGGCGAAAAGAACCCCGGCGAGGGGAGUGAAAAAGAACCUGAAACCGUGUACGUACAAGCAGUGGGAGCACAGG